ACCCUCUCAGGGUCGCACCUGGAGAGUUUCCAGGACUCUUCCAGUCUUGACUAUGGGAGGGAGAGUCAAGCAGAGGCCUGUCCAUUCCGUUCCUAGCUUGGGUAGUGGCUAGGGAAUGGAAAGCCAUCGGCUACAAGU
rfam:Ornithorhynchus anatinus chromosome X1, whole genome shotgun sequence.